GGCAGAGGACAAACAUUUUCUAGAAGAUGGUUAAAGCUAAGAGGAAUCAGUGAGUUUUGUGGAGAUGUAGAUUGGGUUCAUCAAAGAUGAAAAUCAUAUAUAUAGGGUUUAUAGAGGGGCUAAAAAUCAGAAACAUUUAUGAUCAAGCGAUUUAAGAUGGGGACAUGAAGAGUUCACCGGUGAAAAAAUAGAUUACGAACAGACACACGGCGCAACUCUGUAACUCAGACUUGUUUGAGACAAUGAUGAAAAGAACUCAAACUCAUGUUAAACGACAACAGUUUACAAUAUGGAAAAACUAUAAUUGUUGCAAACUUGAGCUUUUUUCAUAUAACGUGAUGAAUCUCAUUUAAAAAUGAAACCCAUAAUACACUUGUAGGCCCGGCCCUCAGAGGAAACCGAAGAAGCGAGGGCUUCCGACCUUUAUAAAUAUAUAUUAGGUUCGGCCAUCAAUGUACAAAGUAUCAUUUAGCUUAGUGGUAUAAAUGUUAAAGUUUAUUUCUCAAUAACCCGGGUUCGAGCCAGGGACUUGACACUUUUUCACACUUUUUAAAAGUAGAGUCCACAAAACGCGACGUGGCGUGCUGAGAAGUGAGCAAAAACUCAACUAUUAUAAUAUAGAUUUAUUUAAUUUUAUUAAUAUAUAUUAUUAUGUUUUUUAUUUUUAAUAUAGCUAAAAGAAAUUGUUUAACACAAAACUUCUAUAAAUAUUUUAUAAAUUAUUAUUACAACAAUAUAAUUGAUAUAAGAGAGUUAAAUUUAAUAUUUUGUCACAAAUUUAAGGUAUAUAUGGAAAUUAUUAUCAUUUAAAAAUAAAUAAAAAAAAUUGUAUUAAAUUUUUCGUAAAAUUAAAAUUUUCUGUCAACUGAUUAAAUCGAACACCUCACAAAAUAUUAAAAACAAAAUUCAGGAUAUGAAAAAAUUUUAUUACUGAAAGAUUUCAGAUCAAAGCAAAUCACAAUAUGAAUAUUUAAACAGAAUAUUGUUUUAAAAAAUAUAUUUUUAUUUAAACAGAAUAUAUAUAUACUGUAAUUUCUGGAUAUUCGCCUCCGUGUUCAGGUGUAGUAUAAGCCCAUCCGUGUUUGCGCUGAGCGUCAGGAGAUUGGUGCUUGAUAUUAAUGAAGUUUCUUAUUGGUUAUUAAAGUCGACAUGCUAGACUAGUUCAGGGACCUUUUGGUUGUUAUAAAAUGAGUUGAUUACAUAUUAGAACACAUUUUGUCUUUCUUUUACACAAAGAGACACAUAUCAUAUGUGACACACUUUCUGGUGGGUCCAACUAGUUAGUUUGACAAAAAAGCCCUUGAAAGAAAUGAGAUUGAGUUUCGUUUCGUUGGGGGAACAACCUUGACUCAUUUUUUGAAUUGACUUUACAACUUGUAGAGUUUAUGUAGUUUUCUAUUUAUAUUACUAUUAUUCCAUCUAAUGUUUUUAUUGACUUUUUUCAAAUACUAAGAUAUACAAAACAAUUAUAAUUGUUACAAUAAACUGUAAUUUUUUUUCUCUUUAUUUUAAGAUUCAUUUCCAUAUAUAUAUUUUAUAUAUUUUAAUAAUUAUAUAAAAAUGCAUGGAUAUAAAAGAUGUGGACGGAAAAAUGUGGUCAUAGAUGGAUUAAAUGAACAUGCACAGAUAGCUAUUUUUACAUUUUCUUUAACAAUUCACAUAUUUAUUAUUUGUUUUUAAUUUGAACCAAAAAAUAUUUUAUAGACAAAAGUUUUCAAUUAAGAUGUAGGUAAAUAUAGGUAAAUCAUUCAUCUAAGUUUUCUUUAGAAAAUGAAAAAUGUGGAUUAGAUAGUGGACAUGGAAGAUGUGGAUGGAUAAAUGUGGACACGAGUUCAUGUGGAUACUAUUUUUCAUCAACUCACCAAUUUUCUUGACUUAAAAAUAUCGGACCAUUGCAGCCGCAACCACCACCAUUGAGUUCAUGUUCCACCUCGCUAAAGGUUUCAUCUUUCGAUCUGCUGUACAUCGCUGGAGACUUACCCUGUGAACAUGUCCAAUCAAACACAACUAAUUCUCAAUCUCAGAAAAGACAAACUCUGAGAUCUAAUAGAUCUGUGAAUCUUGUGGACUGACGGUGAUGAUAGAUCGUGGAGUUCUGGUGACGACGACCGCGGGUCGACUCGUUUUCUUUUUCAAUGUCUUGAGAUUGACGAGUAUUCUAUUUUUCUGAUGGAUUCAUGGUUUACGAGAAUAAGAGGAAGCGAUCUGCAAGCAUAACAUAGGGGUAACUGGAGUUGGGUGUCUUACAGGUUCUUAGCAAGUGAUUGAUCGUGUUUAUGUGAGUUGAUGUUACAAACAUUGAUUUUUAUUUGUUUAUGUUUUUUGUAUUUUUAUUUGAUAUAUUAAAAAAAAAGUUUAAAAACCUUCGCAGCCACACAAAUGGUGUCGGAAACAUUGAGUUGUCCAUGAAGAUGAAGAUAGAGUCGUUGAAAAUGGAGAAAUAUAACAAAUUGAAGAAGAACAAAAACACAAAUGCAAAGAAUGUAAUGAGAUGUCCACAGUUUGUUGUCGACAUUUUUUAUGUCCACGCAUUUUUAUAUAAUUGUUAAAAUAUAUAAAAUAUAUAUAUGAAAAUAGAUCUUGAAAUAUAGAGAAAAAGAAAUUACUAUUUAUUGUAAAAUUAUAUUUGCUUUAUAUAUUUUAAAACUUGAGAAAAAAACAAAUAAGAUAGAAGAAAGAAUGAAUAAUAAUAACAUUAAACAAAAACAUAAAACUUUUCUUUAUUCAAAGAGAAAAAAGAAGAUAACUUGACGAAUAAGAUGUGACGAGAGAGAAAGAGACCACAAAUGGUAUAAAGGACAAACAACAAGACAAAUGUGUGUCUCAAGUGAAAUGUGCUCCUUAGCGAUAUUAAGAAAUGAAAAUGUGUCUUGGGAUGUAAAUUUUUCAUCGUUUCUACGGUAUUGGUCGUGACGUGGGCAUCAUGACUUUUCUCAAAGUUUAGUCAGCUGCUUUUGAGAUAGGUUGUUGAACGACCUGAUUAUGCGCACGCUCCCAAAUAUCGUGGAAUGAACCCCUCCCCCACAAAAAAAAAGACAAUUUGUUGGCAAUAGACAAUAAGAAAAUAAUUGAAAAAAUUACACUCUCGGUCACUUUUUCACUUUCGUAUUACGCCGCAAGCCACAUUCCACGUGAACAAUACAUGAUAGUGUAUCAAAGACAUCAAUGCCCUCUAACUAGAGGUGAACCAACUUCACUUCCUUCUCUCCUCUAUCUCCCAAUUUCGAGUUUCUUUGUUGAGUAACCAAAACAACACGUGGUCCCUCUCUCCUCUAUCUUCUUAAUUUACCAGUUCAAAAAUCCUAAUCGAUCAAAAAAAAAAUUUCAGAGGCUACAGAGACUUCGAACUCAUCCCUCCCAGAAAGCCACCUCCUUUCUCAUUCCUCACGGCCCACCAGAUUUCUUUUUCUUACUAACAUUUCCAUCAACCUUCUCAUAUCUCCUGUUCUUUAAAGCUAUAUAGUCGUUUUUCUCUGUAAGUUACCAACUUGAAGCGUUAAAGACAUGCGAGGACAAGAAUUUUAUGACAACAACUUUGAGUGUCACAGAUUCAAACACCCAUUGAAGAAGAUGACACUCCAUCACACUCCCCUAUGGUCAGCCAAUACGGCACACAACAUUACGUCCACAACUCCCCAUACAUGUCUUGCCGGUCAACAACUCACCGUCCACACCACACUCGUCCACAAUUCACCCGUCCACAACUCACCCAUCUAUAACUCUCCCAUCCACAUCUCACCCGUCCACAACUCCCCCGACCACAACUCUGUCGUCGUAAAGUCUCCUUCUUUUUAUCUCCUCACCACCGCAAACGGCCUUGGUCUUCGUGAAUGUAUGGGGCAAGCGGAAAGUGGCACCUAGUGCAAUGUAAACUCAAAAAGUGGCCCAUUAUGUAAUCAACUAUUUAGCCGGUUUUGCUAAAAAAGGUUAAUAUUAAUAAUUUAACCAGAAACUAAAUAGAGUACUAUACGUCUUUUUCAUUUUUUUUCUAUAACGGAUUCAACAAUUAAGUUUUCCUGUCAAAAGUAUUCAAUUGUACGUGAGAUUGUUUAAUCUGGGGUGACAUGUCCAAAGCUGGUAGGGUUUUAGACAGACUUGAAUCUAGCAGAUUUACAUUUUAACAUCAGGUAAAAAUAUUUACUCUCUCUUAAUGAAAGCAUUUAUAUAUUGUAUAGGUCAACGAAAGAAAAAAAUUUGUGGAAAAAUUUAUCUGAGUUGACAAAAAUGGAUAACGUGUAUGUAUGGUGCACCAUUUAUGUUUGUUUAUUGUUAUUGUGUAGAAUAAUUUUAUUUUAGUUUAUUAUUUGAGUAUAUUCACUAAGCUGAUGUUCAUUGCUAAGAAAUUUUAUAUCCUUUCUUCAAGAGGGCGACGACCUAAAAGUUUGGUUCGGAGAGAGAAGACUCAGUUUGUAAUUUUGAAACUUACGGCUGAGACACUUUUGUUAUUUGGAGUUGAGAAGCUUUGGGACCUUAUUGUCCGGGAAUCUGAGCGAUUAAAGGGAGUUGAUGAGCAAUUCACUGAAUUAAAAAGUGACAUAAAUAUGUUAAGGUGCUUUUUGAAAGAUGCUGAUGCCGAGAAGCAUACAAAUGCAAUGGUGAGAAAUUGUUUGGAAGAGAUCAAAUAAAUCGUUUAUGAUGCAUAAGAUAUAAUUGAAACCUUUCUUAUGAAAGAACUUGGGAAAGCAAGUGGGAUCAGGAAGCAUAUGAGAAGGCUUGCUUUUAGCAUAGUAGAUUGUAUGGAACAUGCUACAGAGAUAAGAGGCUCGAGUAAGAGGAUCUCCAAAGUGAUACUCAGUAUGCAGAGUUUUGGCUUGCAACAAAGCAUUUCUGGUGACGGCUAUUCACAGCCUUUACAAGAAAGAAGGGAGAUGCAGAAAACGUUUUCUAAUGACAAUGAAAACAAUCUUGUUGGUUUGGAGAAAAAUGUUAAAACUUUGGUUCACUAUUUGGUGGAGGAAGAUUGCAUUAGAGUGAUUUCUAUAACUAGGAUGGGUGGUAUCGGUAAAACCACUAUUGCUAGACAAGUUUUUAAUCAUGAGACAGUGAAAAAUCAUUUUGAAGGGCUUGCAUGGGUAUGUGUUUCACAACAGUUUACACGAAAAGAUGUGUGGCGGACGAUCUUGCGGAAUCUUCAACCAAAUUAUGAGGAGAUUACAGAAGAUGAAAUCCAAAACAAACUCUUUGGACUGAUGGAAACACAAAAUUAUCUGAUUGUCCAUGAUGAUAUAUGGAAAGAAGAAGAUUGGGAUAGAAUAAAGCCAUUUUUUUUUAUUAAAAUGGGGGUAUCUCAGACCUAUGGAAGGACCCAGACUAAUCUCCAAGUGGAGGUGCAACCUACGGAUAGACCCUCUCUCCGGGUAUGCAAAUGAGCCCUAAAGCAUGAGUCCAUAUCCGUGUGGUGUCCAGAGACAUCAUGAAAUAGUUCCUUCCAGCAGGUUUCGAACUCACAACCUGGUGCAUGAAGGAGCCCGUCCUUACCAUUGGGCCAUGAUGUUCCGGACAAUAAAGCCAAUUUUUCCACAGAAAAAAGGUGAUGUUUUAUGAUGAAUAUAUUAGACUGUUCUUUACUGAUAUUCACUAUUUGGUUAAAGAAAUAUAAAUCUAUCGUUGUGUUCCUUUUUUCUAAGAAUAUAAUGUAGUAAAUAAAUAUAAUCCAGAUCAGAAAGUAAUACUUACUUCUCGUAAUGAGGAUGUGGCAAUACGAGCAGAUCCAACAUACGUGACCUUUAAACCACAAGGCUUUACUCAUGAAGAAAGUUGGAAACUUUCUCAAAAGAUUGCAUUUCCUAAGAAUGAAGUAGACGAGUUUAGUGCUGAUAAAGAAAUGGGAGAGAUAUGUAAGGAGAUGAUCAAACAUUGUGAAGGUUUACCAUUGCCUAUAAAAGUGUUAGGAGGGUUGCUAGGUGCCUAAUACACAAUGCGUCAGUGGAGAAGAGUACAUGAGAAUUUGGAUCUCACUUUUUAGGAAAAACUAUUUUUGGUGAUGCAAUGGUAGGUUGGUUUAUCAUGUGUUGUCUUUGGGCUACGAAGAGUUACCUAUGUGCCCAAUGUCUUUAGAAUCGUCUAUUUUCUUAACUUCGUUUUUAUUAUAUCAUUUAUGUCAAUCCGGUUUUCUGGCUUCUACAGGUUAGAGUUUUGAGAACCACCUUUUUAUUUAAAUGUUAUUAAUCCCUUUAAACAGUGAUGAUUCAAGCUUGAAUGAGCGAUUCUUCCAAAUGAUGAUAAUAGAAGACCAGAGGAUGCAAACUACACCGUAGAUGUACUGACUAGAUGUAUGGUCAGCAGAGAUGGGGCUGGCAAAAAGAAAAGUAAGCUUGUGCCAUUUAAGCAACGUGGUGAGCCCGUUGUGGUCUCUAAUAUAUUUAUCUCAGAUUAAGAGUUUAAGCAGUGCAAUGUUGUGGAAUUGAAGCGGAAGGUUGCUUGUGAAAUUAGCAGUGCAGAGGAAUUGACAUUGACGGAGCUUAUGUUCAGUGGUGUCUUCAAGGAAGCGAAGGUGGAGGAGUUGGCGAGAGAGGCUACCUGACGCAGCUAAACCCAGAGAAGAACUCGACUUAUUCUUCAUACAGUUACAAGACACAACCAGAUCGAUAUCGACCUCGAGAGUUUUGUCCACUCAUUCAGACCGGAUAUAAUGGAGGCGGUUUAUGCGUGGGCUAAAGGCUCCAAGUUUUAUGAGAUCAUGGAGAUUGCUUGUGUUUUCGAAGGGAGCAUGAUCAGAGCGAUAAGGAGAAUGGAGGAAGUUCUACAACAGCUUAUAGUAGUUGCAAAAAAUCCAUAGGUGAAACACAGCUUGAGGCUAAACUAGAAGAAGCAGUUUCCAAGAUCAAGAGGAGCAUUAUAUUUGCAGCAUCUGUCAACUUGUGAUGCCAUUUUGUUUAUUUCCGGCAAAAGUAAUAAAACAAAUGAAGCCAAGAGUUUUGUUUGUACAGUCUUUCAUUUGUCUUAAGAUUUUUUGACAUGUAUUAAGAACGAUAAAAAGCAUGAGGAAAUUUUUUUUAUUUCAUAAUUUUA